AAUGGGCGAAAGCCUGACGCAGCCAUGCCGCGUGAAUGAUGAAGGUCUUAGGAUUGUAAAAUUCUUUCACCGGGGACGAUAAUGACGGUACCCGGAGAAGAAGCCCCGGCUAACUUCGUGCCAGCAGCCGCGGUAAUACGAAGGGGGCUAGCGUUGCUCGGAAUUACUGGGCGUAAAGGGCGCGUAGGCGGAUAGUUUAGUCAGAGGUGAAAGCCCAGGGCUCAACCUUGGAAUUGCCUUUGAUACUGGCUAUCUUGAGUAUGGAAGAGGUAUGUGGAACUCCGAGUGUAGAGGUGAAAUUCGUAGAUAUUCGGAAGAACACCAGUGGCGAAGGCGACAUACUGGUCCAUUACUGACGCUGAGGCGCGAAAGCGUGGGGAGCAAA
rnacentral:rRNA from 1 species